rnacentral:rRNA from 1 species
GAUGAACGCUAGCGGCAGGCUUAAUACAUGCAAGUCGAGGGACAGCACAGGUAGCAAUACUGGGUGGUAACCGGCAAACGGGUGCGGAACACGUACACAACCUUCCUUUAAGUGGGGGAUAGCCCAGAGAAAUUUGGAUUAAUACCCCGUAAUAUAGUUGAAUGGCAUCAUUUGAUUAUUAUAGCUACGGCGCCUAAUGAUGGGUGUGCGGCUGAUUAGAUAGUUGGCGGGGUAACGGCCCACCAAGUCUACGAUCAGUAGCUGAUGUGAGAGCAUGAUCAGCCAAACGGGGACUGAGACACGGGCCCGACUCCUACGGGAGGCAGCAGUAAGGAAUAUUGGUCAAUGGACGCAAGUCUGAACCAGCCAUGCCGCGUGAAGGAUUAAGGUCCUCUGGAUUGUAAACUUCUUUUAUUUGGGACGAAAAAGGGCCUUUCUAGGUCAACUGACGGUACCAGAUGAAUAAGCACCGGCUAACUCCGUGCCAGCCGCCGCCGUAACAC